UCUUAUGGAUGAGCAAAGAAAGUAGUUUCUUGAGAUGGAAUAUACUUCUGGUGAAGAUGCUGUGAA
rnacentral:pre_miRNA from 1 species